rnacentral:tRNA from 1 species
GCCUGUGUGGCUCAGUUGGUUAAGCAUCUGACUUCGGCUCAGGUCAUGAUCUCGUGGUUCGUGGGUUCAAGCCCCGUGUCGGGCU